rnacentral:rRNA from 1 species
GCUCUGGAGACAGAGCGGAGGUAUCCGGGAGGACAGGUGGUGCAUGGUUGUCGUCAGCUCGUGUCGUGAGAUGUUGGGUUAAGUCCCGCAACGAGCGCAACCCUUAUUGCUAGUUACCAUCAUUGAGUUGGGGACUCUAGCGAGACUGCCAGCGAUAAGCUGGAGGAAGGUGGGGAUGAUGUCAAAUCAUCAUGCCCCUUAUGACCUGGGCUACAAACGUGAUACAAUGGCUGGAACAAAGGGAGGCGAAGGGGUGACCUGGAGCGAAACCCAAAAUACAGUCUCAGUUCGGAUUGAAGUCUGCAACUCGACUUCAUGAAGUCGGAAUCGCUAGUAAUCGCGGAUCAGAACGCCGCGGUGAAUACGUUCUCGGGGUUU